rnacentral:tRNA from 1 species
UCCGGUGUAGCUCAGUCUGGUCAGUAGCACCCGCUUGAUAAGCGGGAGGUCGGCGGUUCAAAUCCGUUCGCCGGAA